ACGUAAUUACGGACAGGGUAGCUCAGCUGUGGUUGGUUGUGAGGUCUUGAUUGGAAGGGCUUCUAAAGAGAGACGGGAUAAAAUAAGGGUCAUUUGGCCCCAGCUGCUAUUUCUGUUCCCGUUUUCUUCUCAGCCUCUCUGAACAGGAAGCCCUUGGACUGCAAAUUGUGCUUGAUCAGGAAUACUACUUGCCCAUUCUGCUUUUGGUUGUCCUGGAUCCUGAGCCACCCCAUGCCCACCUGUAGGCCAGCACCUGUGCUAUGGAGUUAACUCAUAGCAGCUGUGAGAGUUUUGGAGUAUAUCUUGGGAAGGAAAACAUCCCCUGAAUAAAUAUCAUCCCUUCUUGUUGCGUGCUGCGUAA
rnacentral:lncRNA from 1 species